GGGGAUGACAGGCUUCGAAGAAGAUCGAAGGCAUAUUGCUCAAGUUGAGGACGGAAAGUUCACCUCAUAAAUCAUCUUUCCAACCCACUAAGUGCAAAUAAACCUGCGCUUGCCUACGCUUAAUAUUGCGUAAGCCAUCUUGCUUUCUGACGUCUCAUAGGAAAAACAAGGUGUCACAUUAUGAGGCUCGGCAAUUUUACGCCUCGGAAAAUUGCAACACUAAGAGGCAAACUGCCGUUUUAUUCGUCCGGCUUUACAACGGCAGAAACCAGCCGGAAUAAACUUGUAAACCAAUUUGCUCUAAAUUUUCUGACCCGGGUUCAAAUCCCGGCAUCUCCACUG
rnacentral:tmRNA from 1 species